rnacentral:tRNA from 1 species
GUCGCCGUAGCUCAGCAGGUCAGAGCGCGGAGCUGAUAACUCCGAGGCCGGUGGUUCGAUCCCACCCGGCGACAC